UACAGAGGUCUCAAGCGUUGUUCGGAUUCAUUGGGCGUAAAGGGCGCGUAGGCGGCGGGGUAAGUCGGGUGUGAAAUCUCAGAGCUCAACUCUGAAACUGCACUCGAUACUGCUCUGCUUGAGGACUGGAGAGGAGACUGGAAUUCACGGUGCAGCAGUGAAAUGCGCAGAUAUCAGGAGGAACACCGGUGGCGAAGGCGGGUCUCUGGGCCGAUAUUGACGCUGAGGAGCGAAAGCGUGGGGAGCAAACAGG
rnacentral:rRNA from 1 species